UAAGGCUGGGCUGGUUCAGCAGGAUCAGUGCCUGGCCGACCUGGUAACUCAAAACAACUGGUGCGAACUUGGAAAUUUCAAUUUCCAAGUAGGGAGAAACUCCAGCACAGUGCCAUUCUUAGCAAAUGAUAAUGCUGCUUUUUUUUUUUUUUUCAUUAAAUGUGACAAACUUUUUUAAAUGUCAAGAGCUGUGAUUAGCUACUCUGCCAGGAUGGCAUCUUCUCAGACUGCUCAUCAGUGUUGCACACCGCCUGCUUUCUCUACAUCAAGCUUAUGUUAUGUGUGGGAAGAGGCUCAGUGUUUUUGCAGUGGAGGCAUUGUGCUGUUAAUGCUUUUGUCUCAAAUUACUAGCCAAGGGCAGCUUCUGUGGGCAGUGUAGCUCCUGAAGGAGAGGUGAACCAGGUACUCUCGACCGUGCAUUUGUUGUCUUGAGUGUGCUAUUAGGGCCCAGAGAAUCUAACAAACUCUUUCAGUCCUUCAUGCUGCAAAACUCUACAGCAUUUGAUUUAUCUGGUCUUAAGUUUUCUUCUUCUUUUGAGGGAAACAUGGCUAUUGCAUCCUUGAAAAGUCGCUACAUUUAGUGUGAUAUGUAAUUAGGAAUUUUAACUCACGUAAUUUCCUAAGUGUUGAAGUUGUAAAGUCUAAAGUUUUCGAUGUCAGAAUUAUGGCUAGAUUUGAAUUAAUAUGAAGCAGUGCAUAAAAUAAAAUGCAUCUUUUGUGUACUCUGAAUAUUUUUGAAGGCUAUGGUUCUGAAUGUGGGAGAGGAGGAAAAAAAAUAUUUAUGUUCCUAUGUGAAAAGACUGUAAUUAAUUUGGUUUUCAGUUUGAAUAACAAACAUAUUUGAAGAAGUAGGUUGAAAUGUGGCCACUCAUGCACAAAGACUGACAUCUUGGAAUACUUGACUUUGUGUUACAGCUUUUAUUUUGAAUGAUCUCAGUGAUUUCCUAAUUGGAAAUUUGAAUGUCCAGCAUUCCUGAAAAAGCAUCCUCUCAAUGCUUUCCCCCCCUGAAGAUGAGGAUCAAAUAGCCGUGGACUUCUUGGGUUGAGUUAAUGGAUUCCUCUCCUUUUUUAAAUUAUUGAUUAUAUGCUGCAGAAGGGUUUGUGUGGCAAUAAAGAUCAUAGUUUGAUACUGGAUUUACCUGUUGAGAUAUAAAGAGUGUUUUGACCAUGAGAUUCAUCUGUCAUCUGCACUCCAUUUAUGACUGCCUUGCGGACCUGUGGUGUCUUUCAUGACAGGCUUCUAAAAUACCUCCAGAGGUGUCUUCUGAGAGAAGAAAAGAUGCAAAUAUUGUGUCCAAACUGCAUUGAAUGGUAUUUGUGAUAUUGUGCAAUGGUAAUAUGCUGCUUCUAAUCUUCCCUCCAGCAGGUUGCUUUUUCCAGAUCCAUUUUAGUUGGAUCAUUGGAAGAGGCAGCUGAUGUCUCUGCUCUCACUGUCUAAUACUCUAGUGAGCAACAGUAGCUACUAGAAGGAAUUACAGUGAACGAUUUUUGCUCCAUCUCUGGGGCUCCGUGUAGCUGAUGGAAAUGCAGAAGCAACUUGGCUAACAAAAUGAGUCCUUUUGGAUGAAGGUUUGCAUAAGCUUACAACUUAAUAGAACACCCACGUAAAAGAAUGGUCCUGACACUGAAGUGAUCACCCCUUGCAAAACCUGAAAUAGUUUCCUCAUAACAUAGAAUUGCUAGUGAUUCUUAAGAAAUUUCCCACUUUCUAAUGUGGGCAAAACAAGUCCUUCUCCUCAUUGUUUGGUUAUGUUUUAAAAAAAAAAAGUUUUUCUGAAACAUCAUUGAUGGAUAACUGAUUUUUUUAUUAGUGCACAGUAAAUCUAUAACUGAAAACAGUAUCAUAAUGCAUUCAUAUAUUCAAGUACUUGUAAUACUCUUGACCGCUUUUAAUGUUUAAGAUAUAAAUGGAUAAGACGGCCAUAGCUAGUCUUUAAUUCAUAUGUCUUCCUUAUUUCUUGAGCUGGCUUUUUGUGGAAAUGUAAUAAGCAGAAUGACCUUGGUGUUUCAUCUAGGCAGCUCCAGCAGACUGCAGAAUAGGUUUCUGGUCUUCCUAGACGCUGAAAAAGAUGUAUGCUUGUUUGUUUUGACUUUCCAAGAACAGCUUUCUUUUUGGAGGCCAUCUGCUUCCAGAUAAUGUUCAUACGGCCAUGUGGUAAAGUAUUUGGAGCAGGCAGAUCUCAUGUAGUUAGUGUAAUAAAAUACUUGCUUGACGAAGUAUAUUAUUGGAGGUAUUAUGGGAGAGAGUAAGAAUUGCUACAGAUGCAGCGUGAACCUAAGCUGCCUAUAGGAUUCCCUUUUCCCACAUAGUUUUCUAAGAAUAAAAUCAGUCCCGAGGACCAGGGGUUUUAUAUGUAAUUCCAUGGAGUAAAAUCUUGUACAUUCUAAAGAGCAGUGGUUUUGCUGUUGUAUUAAUUACCGAAGUCCACAAAACCUUCCACUUAUAGGAGUUAACAGGAAAUUGUGACAUUUCAAAACCGAAGUAAAAUUGUACUUUCAAACUUGCUGGUUUUGUGGCAGAAGGAUUCAGAGAAGACUGAAAGAGCUACUUUGCAGGUCUAGGAGAUGCUUAUUCAGAACAAGAAGCUUUUUGAAAGAACCGUUAUUUUGAUACAUAUUUUCUGUACUGACAACUGAGAGUGGUAUUGAUUCAAGAAGAGCGCUGAUCCUGAAGAUUGCAGACACCAUGCUUCUUAUGAAUUCUUUACCUUGUCAGAACAACUGUGUACCAUGCUUUUUCACCAAAAUAUAACGGUAUCAGAAGAACGUAAUCCAGUGUCAGAAUAUUCAUCUUUCACUUUCUUGCUUUCAUAUUCCUUGCUUCCACUGUCAUUUCUGCAGCUUAUUAAUAUUUUCUUGGAAAUACCAAUGAUGACAUAUUUGGCACCCCAAAGAGAUCUUUUCUGUAAUUGUAUUGUCAUUCCAUAAAGGUAGCAAACCCCAGGUCCAGACUUCAUGAAACAGCCUCCAAGGACCGCUUCCUUCAGAGAUGAUUUAGAAAUUAAAAAAGUGGUUGAGGAGAGACAGAGUAUUUACUUCAUUAGGUUUCCUGAAGGCACACUUCAUUUCCAGGAGAAGCUGCAUACUUUGGAUGUUUCUAAAAGUUUUUCUUUCCCUUCUACCUCAGCAGCAGUGUCAAACUGUCCGUGAAAAUACUCAAAAGGCCAGGUUUAUUUGUAGCAGCACAUUUCUGAGUGGAUUACAUAAUAUAUUUCCAACACUGUGAAAUGGAGACCAAGACUUUAACUCCAAAAACAGAACAAUUGCCAAGUGUGGGAAAGUGGUUGGCUCUUUGGCUGUUGUUCUCUGAAGCUCCUCACUGUGUAAUCACCCCAACGAGG